rnacentral:tRNA from 1 species
GGGAGUGCAGCUCAGUAGUAGAGCUCUUGUGUAAAAUGCACAAGACCCUAGGUUCAAUUCCCAGCACUGCCC